rnacentral:lncRNA from 1 species
CUUUAUCCACUAGAGGAAGAUAAGUUGCUUUGGCCAAAAAAAAUCUAACGGGCUAGCAAGUAAAGAAAGGAUACAACAGGUAGUUAGGAAAGCUCCGCAAUUUCAAUAUCCCUUCCUCAUCCCGUAAGUCUGAGGAAAGCAAGCGUAACUCCAAACCUCAAAUAAGCCUCGGGCGAAACAUAAGACUGAUAACGGAUGGUCCCCGCCAACUGCUUAUCUCUCUUCCUCGCAUUCCAUUCAUGACCUAACGACUAUCCCUCUUUCGGGGAGGGAAUCACUUGCUGGAUCGAACCCAAGGAUAGGUUU